UUGAGAUAACCCCUGUUUGCAUGUACAGAGGAACUGAACAAGUUUCAUGCUUGGUCAAUCAUCAAAUGUUGAGAGGGACUCUAGUUACCCGAGGAGCGGAAGGCUCGAGAUUGUCAGAGUUCGUGAGGAAAGCCACGGAUUCUAGUUUUAUGGAUGCAGGUACUGUGCACUGGGACGGGAUAGCGGCGAGGAGUUGGGUGUGCAUAUUUAUGAUUGGCAAUUUGGAAUCUUUGUAUGAUUGUUUAUUUGAUUGAAAUAGUUGCUAUUAAGAAUUGGAUUUGUUGUUGUUGAAUUCUAUGGCAAGUAGGAUUACUAAUCCUUUGGUUUUGGUUAUGUUUGAUUUGAUUUCUUUGUUAGCAAAAUCAAUUCUUUUAUGUUAUUAGCAGGUAGAGAAUCAAGUUUAUGUUUUUUUUAUGUUGUUGUUAAAAUCUCAGACUCUUAAACCCUUUACUUAGAACUUGAGACAUAGACUUACAUCAACAGUUUUUCUCUACUGUAUCGGAACUUUAGAAAAUCAUAAGUAACUGUAGAAAAAUCCGUUUUCUAUGAUUCCAGUUCUCAAAUGAUCUUUAGGUUGUCUAUUACAAUUGUUAUGAAGACACCCAGCUUUAAUUCCCAGUUUAACCAUAUCGUUUUUAGCCAAAGAUAUUUCUGGUCAGAUACUUAGUAAGGCCUUUUCUGAUUUCAGUCUUUUGUUUUUAGUCUUAAUGUUUGUCUUUGAUUCUUACUCUAUUUGGUAUGAUGUUCUAUAGAUAUUGGGAUUGAAGUAUAAGGUUCUUAUACAUGUGAUUUGUUUCUCAAAUUGAAGUUAGAGAUUAAGAAUUUGUGUUGCUUGAAGUUAGCUGAAACAUUAGAACUUUAGAAUUCCUUUUACUUGUUACUUUCUAUUAGUUGCCUUUAUGGUAAUCUUAGUUAUUGCUUUG